GAUGAAGAACGUAGCGAAAUGCGAUAAGUAGUGUGAAUUGCAGAAUUCAGUGAAUCAUCGAAUCUUUGAACGCACAUUGCGCCCUUUGGUAUUCCAAAGGGCAUGCCUGUUCGAGCGUCAUUUGUACCCUCAAGCUUUGCUUGGUGUUGGGCGUCUUGUCUCUAGCUUUGCUGGAGACUCGCCUUAAAGUAAUUGGCAGCCGGCCUACUGGUUUCGGAGCGCAGCACAAGUCGCACUCUCUAUCAGCAAAGGUCUAGCAUCCACUAAACCUUUUUUUCAACUUUUGACCUCGGAUCAGGUAGGGAUACCCGCUGAACUUAAGCAUAUCAAUAACGGAGGA
rnacentral:misc_RNA from 1 species